rnacentral:rRNA from 1 species
GAUGAACACUAGCGGGAGGCCUAACACAUGCAAGCCGAGCGGUAGAGAUUCUUCGGAAUCUUGAGAGCGGCGUACGGGUGCGGAACACGUGUGCAACCUGCCUUUAUCAGGGGGAUAGCCUUUCGAAAGGAAGAUUAAUACCCCAUAAUAUAUUAAGUGGCGUCACUUGAUAUUGAAAACUCCGGUGGAUAAAGAUGGGCACGCGCAAGAUUAGAUAGUUGGUAGGGUAACGGCCUACCAAGUCAGUGAUCUUUAGGGGGCCUGAGAGGGUGAUGCCACACACUGGUACUCAGACACGAACAAGACACCUACGGGAGGCAGAAGUGAGCAAGAUUGGACAAUGGCUGAGAGACUGAUCCAGCCAUCCCACGUGAAGGAUGACGGCCCUAUGGGUUGUAAACGUCUUUUGUAUAGUGAUAAACCUUUCCACGUGUGGAAAGCUGACGGUACUAUACGAAUAAGCACCGGCUAACUCCGUGCCAGCCGCCGCGGUAAGAC